CCAGCCAGGUUGUGUGGUUGUGUGCUUCUGUGCUCUUUGGCAAGUGGGACAGGCGAAAUUAUCGGAUCUGCAGCUAGUUGUGGGUUUUGACCGUUAAAAUCUCAGUAGUUAACUUUAAAUUAGGUUUUUUUCGAGGAAAAUUUCAGAGUGCUGAAAAAGUGCUGAAAUUUGAUAAGGCUGAGUGCUGAUUUUUGAAAAUUCCAUCUGGGAACCCCGCAUUGUCUAGGUCAUUGUCUGCAUUUGUCUGCUCGUCUGCUCAUUACACUCUGCUCUCGCUCUGGAACUGUUCAAGUGUUAAUUUUCCUCUUUUCUACAGCGAAAGACUAACCCAAGACCUAAUAGGCUAAUGUAAGGUCCUACAAUAUGCCAACUACACGGAGCAGCUCAAAGAACAAUUGUCCAGAGAUAACAAAUUGUCAGAGAUGUCAGAUUUAUCUCUAUUCACAAAGUUCGUACUUGAAAGCUGUGAUGGCAGAUCAAGACACAAGUGAUUGGUUUUGGAUGUGUGAAAAUUGCUACAUAUCUUCACCUGUACAAGAGCAGACAUUGUGCUUCUUCAGAAUUCCUCAAAAUGGAGGCCUCUUCGAGCAUGAGAGUUCAUUGACAUCUGGAAUUAAUCUCAUCCCAUCAGGAAUUCAAGCGGCAUCACAACCUGUACUUAAGCCUUCUUUAAAAGUUCAUUUUCAUAGCAUAUUUUGUACUGUUUCCAAUUGGUUAAUAUCUCUCAAAGCUCACUCACGAAUAUAUUGUAAUCUACAUAGUGUAGGAAUAUUUACUUUUUUGUUUUUUUUUGUAAUAUUAUUACUCAGCAUCUUCUUAGUUUAUUGGUUUAGGCCUAAUCCAUGUGAAAAUUUAGCAUCAAAAAAUGAGGCUGUUGCCUCUAAAAUAAGGAAUUCAUUUCAUUCCCUUGAAGAAACUUUCCCUCAGCAAAAUAUCGACCUUUGGGUCAACUUUGCAUCAGGUUUCCAAAACAUAGCUGAGAGUAAUGAAAUUUCUCCUGCUGUAUUUUUAAUUCUACAUUCUAAAAACACGAAAACAUCUUUUUGCAUUAUCAACCAAGUCUGCAAGCUUGCGCACCUACAUUUGAAAGUUGACUCAUCACCUUUGGUAUUAGAUGCUGUUCAGCUACAAAACAAGUACUUUGAACAAGGUGAUUUCAUUUUAGAUAUGGAGAAAAAUAUGUUGUCUCGAAAAAUAUCCGUCAUAAGAAAUUUACAUAUGAUGCCAGGAAAAUUAGCCGAAGGCCUUCACGGCCUGACAGACGCGUACAACCCAUUAGUUAAAAAAGUAAUUUAUUUAAUGUCCAUACCUGUCAAUCAGUCUUAUUACUCCAAGAAUGUUUUUGAAUUGGCUGAAGAUGUCCUCCACCAUUCUUGGGUAGAUGUUCAUGAGGAAAAACUUGACCCACUCUUAGCACGACUCACCACCAAUGUUGUUUGGAUUGAAGAUGAAAAGAAGUUCCCAGAGUAUUGUUAGCAUCUUUCUUCACAUGUCCUCUUUCUAUCAGGCAGUUUUCUUUUAAUAGAAAAUUGAAUCUGCGUAUACUCAAAUGCAGCUCAAAUAACCUCACACGGUUCGUUUUAAAAAAAUUUAAUUUUUUCGAAGACCAACGAUAUAUUACGAUAAUUUUUUUUGAUAAUAACGUCAGGGAAAGUCUCUAGAUUGAGAAACUGAAGACCGCAAAAUCGUAAGUGGGGCCUUUUCCUGUUUCCGUGUCAACAAUUUCCUGCAAGAAUUUCCGUUAAAUGAUGGCCUUAAUACGGACAAAUUACGCAGGAUUUCAGAAGAGCACGGAGGUAGAUGUCUGAAAUACGAGUAUGUUAAGUGUUUGCAAGACUUAGAAAACGUCGUGAAAUCGUGUUUUUCGAGCGAACAUGUCCCUAAAUUUACGAUUUAUAUUCAAAUAUUUGAGAAAAGUUUCACAGAUUUAGAGAUACUCGACGCCAAAAAUUCGUACCGUAAUAUACCAUGUGCCUCAAUUCUGCGUCGAGCAUCAAAGAGAAUUGGCCUUAUGUGCCUCAAUUCUGCGUCGAGCAUCAAAGAGAAUUGGCCUUCUUUAGUGAACAAGCCAUUGAAUCAGUGCAUGCAGAUUUUAUAAAAACAUGGAACAAAUACUAAGUUGAUAAAUCGCACCCAAGCUACUCCCGCAGGUUAUUACAAGCCGUUUGCGAAUAUGACAGCUCACAUUUUUGAAAGCUUUUUUUCGUAUAUUUUCCUUCAAUUCUCGAUAGUAAGCACAACGGGUCAUUAACCAAUUAAGAACAGCACAUAGGGGGGAUGUGGUACCGGAGCGGGGAUUGCUGCUCUGGGAGGCCAUGGGAAAAGAGGGGCGGGAAAGAUUUCAUUCAAUUAAAAACUCAAAAUGUCGUUUUACAAAAAUACACAAACUUAAACCUAAUCUUCUCCAAAAAUCGAAUCUUAAAACUGAAAAAAAAAGAAUUUCCAAAAUAUCUGUUUUCAGCUGAUUUAUUGUCAACUUCUUCAGUAUUCAUUAGCUACACGCAAAUUAAAACAAAGACGGAAUUAAUACUGAGUACUACAUUUCAAAUUCAGACUCUAGCGUAAGGUGGGAACAGUUUUAGUGUAUUUUUUUUUAUUUUUAUUUUAGUUUUGACCGAGGUGAUUUAUUCUUUAUCUUCUGUGUGAAUUAAGGAGAAUUCAUCUUUAUUUUCUUGGGAUUUAAGGGGGAAAAGUUUUGCAGAUUUUACUUGCUGAUUUCAAGGAAAGUGAUCAUCUUUUUUCAACCAAAUCCGUUUUCAUUAAUGCUUCCACAUUUAUCCAGUUGAUCUUUCGCGUUCGCAGAAACGGAGGUAAGGGACAAUGACAUAUUUUGCCAGUAUGUCCUAUUGCCAAAGAAAACUCUGUCAGUAUGCCCUUUCAUUACUUAAAUAAAGAGGAAAGAAAGAUUUUGGUCAAAUCUGUAAACUGGCAUUUUCUAUAAUAUUUUCCAAUCUUAAGAAAAAUCGGAAAUAUAGCAACUGCAAACGUUUAUUUUUUCGGAUGACUCGAUACUAUUCAUAAAUUAUAAGCAGGUAUUUUUUUUUAUAAUUUUUAACAUAAAUCAAAACUCAACGUCUUCAGACCAUCGUCGUCUUCGUUCCAUCGGUUACAUUACUGUGCCGUGCAUAACUUGGCAACAUCGCAUGGGGGGCCCAAAUUUUUUUGGGGGGCUCCAAACUGUUGGGGAUGUCUUGAUACAUGUUUGGAGACAACAUACUAAAGUUUAAACAUAAUCCGAACAUGGGGAGGGGGUUUUGAUGGCCACGCAUAGGCCUUGGAAGCUAUUUCCCCCUUAAAAAUCGAAAAAGUAAAAAAUUAAAAAACAGCCCCACUUACGAUUUUGCGGUCUUCAGUUUCUCAAUCUAGAGACCUUCCCUGACAUAAUUAUAAAAAAAAAUCGCGUGUGGUCUUCAAAAAAAUUAAAUUUUUUUUAAACAAACCGUGCUCAGACUGAUGUAUUAAUGAUCCUCUUCAGAUUUAAUUUGCUUGACACAGUGACUGAUCCUUUAUGAAUUUGCCAUAGGUUAUGUCCAGUUGUUUGUCAGUUAUGAUAUAACGUAUACUAUUUUCACAUCAAUCUUUGAGGAAGUAAGCCACCAGUCUUUGCUUGAGUGCUCUUCCAUUACGGAGUUUCUGAUGCUUAACAAAUCAAUUCCUGGCUUGUAUCAGGCAUUCUGAAGCUGGAUCUAAUCUAGCACAGAGAAACCCAGCUAUAGCAUGUCAAAACUGAGAAGAAGAGAUUUGAAGUUACAAUACACCAUAAAAGUUCAAAAAUUAAUCUUGAAACCUUAUAUUUCUCAUCUUGGAGUUGUUGAAAUCCAUUACAACAGCUAUUGUAUGUAUUAUCGUACCGGUGGCUAAGAAGCGAAACCAUGUAUCUCCACGGUAACUUUGCUACGUGACAGACUUCUGUAAUAAUUAUUUUUUUAAUAAAACUAGUCAACAUAA